CUGCGCAGCACCCUUCCAGAAGUGAACCUGUGGAAGAAUCGCGGUAAAAAUAAAACUCCAGAAAGCGACUACUCACAUAUCGCCUUAGGCCAAGGUAAAGGACAAGAAGUUUAAGACUGAUCCCUGAGAGGAAACUCAUGAGGGCUUUGGCCUAGGACUGGAACCAUACCAUCUGCUCUCCUGGGUCUCCAGCUUGCUGACUACAGAUCUUGGAACUUUUCAUCCUCUAUAGUUACAUGAGGCAAUUCCUAAAUAAAUAUGUAGAUUUGUGUGUGCAUAUAUCUCCAUCUUGUUGGCCCUAUUUCUCUGGAGAACCCUGAAUAAUAUAGCUGGACUGUAUAUGUACAGUGUGAGAGCAUCUGAAGCUCAC